UACGAAGGGGGCUAGCGUUGCUCGGAAUCACUGGGCGUAAAGCGCACGUAGGCGGCUUUUUAAGUCAGGGGUGAAAUCCUGGAGCUCAACUCCAGAACUGCCUUUGAUACUGGGAAGCUUGAGUCCGGAAGAGGUGAGUGGAAUUCCUAGUGUAGAGGUGAAAUUCGUAGAUAUUAGGAAGAACACCAGUGGCGAAGGCGGCUCACUGGCCCGGUACUGACGCUCAUGUGCGAAAGCGUGGGGAGCAAACAGG
rnacentral:rRNA from 1 species